rnacentral:rRNA from 1 species
UACGUAGGGGGCGAGCGUUAUCCGGAUUCAUUGGGCGUAAAGCGCGCGUAGGCGGCCGCCUAAGCGGAACCCCUAACCCCGGGGCUCAACCUCGGGCCGGGUUCCGGACUGGGCGGCUCGAGUGCGGUAGAGGAGAGCGGAAUUCCCGGUGUAGCGGUGGAAUGCGCAGAUAUCGGGAAGAACACCGAUGGCGAAGGCAGCUCUCUGGGCCGUCACUGACGCUGAGGCGCGAAAGCUGGGGGAGCGAACAGG